AUUGAACGCUGGCGGCAGGCCUAACACAUGCAAGUCGAGCGGAGCGGCGGACGGGUGAGUAAUGCUUAGGAAUAUGCCUGGUAGUGGGGGAUAACGUCCGGAAACGGGCGCUAAUACCGCAAACUAUCCGAUGAGCCUAGGUCGGAUUAGCUAGUUGGUGGGGUAAAGGCCUACCAAGGCGACGAUGCGUAACUGGUCCGAGAGGAUGAACAGUCAAGCUGGAACUGAGACACGGUCCAGACUCCUACGGGAGGCAGCAGUGGGGAAGAUUGGACAAUGGGCGAAAGCCUGAUCCAGCCAUGCCGGGUGUGUGAAGAAGGUCUUCGGUUUGUAAAGCACUUUAAGUUGGGAGGCGUUACCAGCAGAAUAAGCACCGGCUAACUUCGUGCCAGCAGCCGCGGUAAUAC
rnacentral:rRNA from 1 species